rnacentral:rRNA from 1 species
AUUGAACGCUGGCGGUAUGCUUAACACAUGCAAGUCGAACGGCAGCAUGGUCUAGCUUGCUAGUCUGAUGGCGAGUGGCGGACGGGUGAGUAACGCGUAGGAAUAUGCCUUGAAGAGUGGGACAACUUGGGGAAACUCAAGCUAAUACCGCAUGUACCCGAGAGAGUAAAGCUGGGGACCUUUAGGCCUGGCGCUUUAAGAUUAGCCUGCGUCCGAUUAGCUAGUUGGUAGGGUAAAGGCCUACCAAGGCGACGAUCGGUAGCUGGUCUGAGAGGAUGAUCAGCCACACUGGAACUGAGAGACGGUCCAGACUCCUACGGGAGGCAGCAGUGGGGAAUAUUGGACAAUGGGGGGAACCCUGAUCCAGCAAUGCCGCGUGUGUGAAGAAGGCCUGAGGGUUGUAAAGCACUUUCAGUGGGGAGGAGGUUUGGAAGGUUAAGAGCUAUUCAAAUGGGCGUUACCCACAGAAGAAGCACCGGCUAACUCCGUGCCAGCCGCCGCCGUAA